AGUGAAGCGGCAACAGCUCAAAUUUGAAAUCUGGCCCCAGGCCCGAGUUGUAAUUUGCAGAGGAUGCUUUUGGCGCGGUGCCUUCCGAGUUCCCUGGAACGGGACGCCAUAGAGGGUGAGAGCCCCGUACGGUUGGACACCAAGCCUUUGUAAAGCUCCUUCGACGAGUCGAGUAGUUUGGGAAUGCUGCUCUAAAUGGGAGGUACAUUUCUUCUAAAGCUAAAUAUUGGCCAGAGACCGAUAGCGCACAAGUAGAGUGAUCGAAAGAUGAAAAGCACUUUGAAAAGAGGGUUAAACAGCACGUGAAAUUGUUAAAAGGGAAGCGCUUGUGACCAGACUUGCGUCCGGUGAAUCACCCAGCUCUCGCGGCUGGGGCACUUCGCCGGCACAGGCCAGCAUCAGCUUGCCGUCGGGGACAAAAGCUUCAGGAACGUGGCUCCUCUCGGGGAGUGUUAUAGCCUGUUGCAUAAUACCCUUCGGCGGGCUGAGGUACGCGCUCCGCAAGGAUGCUGGCGUAAUGGUCAUCAGCGAC
rnacentral:rRNA from 2 species